UACGUCAGGAUGAACGCUGGCGGCGUGCCUAAUACAUGCAAGUCGAGCGAACGGACGAGAAGCUUGCUUCUCUGAUGUUAGCGGCGGACGGGUGAGUAACACGUGGAUAACCUACCUAUAAGACUGGGAUAACUUCGGGAAACCGGAGCUAAUACCGGAUAAUAUUUUGAACCGCAUGGUUCAAAAGUGAAAGACGGUCUUGCUGUCACUUAUAGAUGGAUCCGCGCUGCAUUAGCUAGUUGGUAAGGUAACGGCUUACCAAGGCAACGAUGCAUAGCCGACCUGAGAGGGUGAUCGGCCACACUGGAACUGAGACACGGUCCAGACUCCUACGGGAGGCAGCAGUAGGGAAUCUUCCGCAAUGGGCGAAAGCCUGACGGAGCAACGCCGCGUGAGUGAUGAAGGUCUUCGGAUCGUAAAACUCUGUUAUUAGGGAAGAACAUAUGUGUAAGUAACUGUGCACAUCUUGACGGUACCUAAUCAGAAAGCCACGGCUAACUACGUGCCAGCAGCCGCGGUAAUACGUAGGUGGCAAGCGUUAUCCGGAAUUAUUGGGCGUAAAGCGCGCGUAGGCGGUUUUUUAAGUCUGAUGUGAAAGCCCACGGCUCAACCGUGGAGGGUCAUUGGAAACUGGAAAACUUGAGUGCAGAAGAGGAAAGUGGAAUUCCAUGUGUAGCGGUGAAAUGCGCAGAGAUAUGGAGGAACACCAGUGGCGAAGGCGACUUUCUGGUCUGUAACUGACGCUGAU
rnacentral:rRNA from 1 species